rnacentral:rRNA from 1 species
GGCGAACGCUGGCGGCGUGCUUAACACACGCAAGUCGAACGAUGAAGCCGGAGCUUGCUCCGGCGGAUUAGUGGCGAACGGGUGAGUAACACGUGAGUAACCUGCCCUUGACUCUGGGAUAAGCGUUGGAAACGACGUAUAAUACCGGAGACGAACCGCGACGGCAUCGUCUGCGGUUGGAAAGAAUUUCGGUCAAGGAUGGACUCGCGGCCUAUCAGCUUGUUGGUGAGGUAAUGGCUCACCAAGGCGACGACGGGUAGCCGGCCUGAGAGGGUGACCGGCCACACUGGAACUGAGACACGGUCCAGACUCCUACGGGAGGCAGCAGUGGGGAAUAUUGCACAAUGGGCGAAAGCCUGAUGCAGCAACGCCGCGUGAGGGAUGACGGCCUUCGGGUUGUAAACCUCUUUUAGCAGGGAAGAAGCGAAAGUGACGGUACCUGCAGAAAAAGCACCGGCUAACUACGUGCCAGCAGCCGCCGUAA